GGUGAUUUUAAUUUUGAUCGCCUGGUCAAGGUGUUGUCUGACUUCUCUGCUGUAUAGCUGGAUUUUUUUUUCCCUUGCAACCAACAGAUAAUCUGGGGGAGGAAGAAGCUUUAGAGCUAAGCAAACAUUCUGCUCUUCACUAUAAAGCAAAGAUCAGCAAUGUGGAAAAAUGGACUGAACUGAAGGGAAAAGGUGGCAGAAAAGUCAGCUAAGAGCCUAUUGCCGUAAACCAGAUAGUCUGGGAGCAUCUGAGCAGAAGAGCCGCUGAAACCAUGGAAAUCAACUGGACAUUAUCCUUCAGCCUCCAGAGUGUCAUUAUCAUUAAAUCUAUCCUUGGCCUUCUCCAGCAGAGUGGUCUGUCUCUUUUCUACAUAACCCGCAGAGUUGCUAUGAUGAUCUGCAACGGGGAAUGAACCAUGCCCAGACCACAAGGAAGGGAGGAGGCAUGCCAUGUGUGAGGAGAAUUGUUGGUUUCCAGAGGAGGCUUCAUGGAAGAAGAAGGAUCUGAGCCAGGUAUAGAGAGGAGCAGGAAGGACUUUCCAGGUACAGGAGAGCUGGCACAAAGCCAGAAAGUUGUGGAGCAAGAGUUGUGCAGGCAGUGUGCAAUUCGGAUGGAGCAAAUGGUAGUACCUGUUUGUUAAUAUGCACAG